rnacentral:lncRNA from 1 species
AUAAAUUUCACAAAAUAUAUGCAAGAUUGUACAAUGAAAACUAUGACAUUGCUGAGGGAAAUGAAUAAGACUUAAAUGAAGAAAUAUACUGUAUUCAUGGGAUGAAAGACUGAGUGUUGUUAAGAUGUCAAUUAUUCCCAAAUUGAUCUACAGAUUCAAUAUAAUUUCAGGCAAAAUUCCUACUGGUCUUCUGUAGAAAUUGACAAGCUGAUUCUAAAAUGUUUCUGGAAAUACAAACAACCUAAAAUAGUCAAAAUAAUUUUGAAAGAGGACAAAGUUACAGAUCUUGUAUAUCUGAUUUUAAGAUGUACUAUAAAGCAAUGGUAAUAAAGGGUAGAUAAAUAACAGUGCAAAAGAAGAUACUGCUUAGAAACAAACCAACUCAUAUAUGGUCAAUUUUUUUUUUUUUUACAAACAUGACAAGGUACUUUAAGUGAAAGGAUAUCCUCUUCAACAAAUGGUGCUGGAACAAGUGAAUAUCCAUAUACAAACAAAUGAACCUAACUCUUGUCUCACACUAGACACAAAAAUUAACUUGAAAAAGAUAAUAGACCUGAAUGCGAGAGCAAACACUAUAAAACUUCUCGAAGAGCGGGCGCAGUGGCUCACGCCUGUAAUCUCAAGAAAUUUGGGAGGUCAAGGUGGGCGGAACACGAGGUCAAGACAUUGAGAUCAUCCUGGCCAACAUGGUGAAACCCCAUCUCUACUAAAAAUACAAAAAUUAGCCAGGCAUGGUGGCGUGCGCCUGUAAUCCCAGCUACUCGGGAGGCUGGGGCAAGAGAAUCACUUGAACCUGGGAGACAGAGGUUGUAGUGAGCUGAGAUCGCACCACUGCACUCCAGCCUGGUGACAGAGCGAGACUUCGUCUCAAUAAAUUAAUUAAUUAAUUAAAUUAAAUUAAAUUAAACUUCUAGAAGAAACCAUAUAAAAGAAAAAUCUGUAUUAGGCCAAGAUUUCUUAGAUAUGAAACCAGAAGUACUGUCUAUUAAAAAAUUGAUAAAUUAGAUUUUCAUCAAAAUUAAAAAUGUCUCCUCUUUGAAAGACACUGUCAAGAAAAUAAAAAAGCAGGCCAGGCACGGUGGCUCAUGCCUGUAAUCCCAGCACUUUGGGAGGCUGAGGCGGGUGGAUCACUUGAGGUCAGGAGUUCAAGACCAGCCUGGCCAACAUGGUGAAACCCCGUCUCUACUAAAAAUACAAAAAUUAGCCGGGCAUGGUGGUCCGUGCCUGUAGUCCCAGCACUAGGGAGGCUGAGGCAGCAGAGUCGCUUGAACCCGGGUGGCAGAGGUUGCAGUGAGCCAAGAUAGUGCCACUGUACUCCAGCCUGGGCGACAGAGCCAGACUCUGUCUCAAAAAAGAAAAGAAAAGAAAAGAGAAGAGGAGAAGAAAAGAAAAGAGCAGGCCGGGCGCGGCGGCUCACGCCUGUAAUCCCAGCACUUUGGGACGCUGAGGCGGGAGGAUCAUGAGGUCAGGAGUUUGAGACCAGCCUGGCCAAUAUGGUAAAACCCCAUCUCUACUAAAAAUACAAAAAUUAGCCAGGCAUGGUUGUGCAUGCCUGUAAUUCCAGCUACUGGGGAGGCUGACGCAGGAGAAUUGCUUGAAGUCGGGAGGCGGAGGUUGCAGUAAGCCAAGAUUGUGCCACCGCACUCCAGCCUGGGCAACAGAGUGAGACUGUCUCAAAAAACAAAACGAAACAAGUAAUGGAGCAAAGCUUCUGUUGCUCCACAUCCUCACUGGCAUUUGGUAUUUGAGGCAUAAUCUUAACACAUCACAAUCAAAGCCAACAGCCAACUUCCAAGCAAGUACAUAAUACACAAAGCAGAGCUGUGGACAAUGUAAUUACAACACAACUAAGGUUGAAUUAAUAAAUAAAUAUUUUAUACCAUGUUUGUACUUGAUAGUGAAAACAUCUUCGUUUCAACAAUCUGUGGAACACUUAUAAAAACUGAUAUUUUAGGUCACAAAGAAAACUUUCAUACAUUGCCCAAUGCGGAAACUGUACCAUAAUGUAAUAAAUGUUGAGAUAACGAAAGUUAAAACAGCAACAAAAAUAAAUAGAGACUACUAAACACUUGUCAAAGUCAUUAUUGCUUUGGAUUAAAGAGGUUUUUUUUUUUUUUUUUGAGAUGGAGUCUCGCUCUGUUGCUCAGGUUAGAGUGUAAUGGCGCGAUCUCAGCUCAUUGCAACCUCCGCCUCCCGGGUUCAAGCGAUUCUCCUGCCUCAACCUCCUGAGUAGCUGGGAUUACAGGGGCCUGCCACCACGCCCGGCUAAUUUUUGUAUUUUUAGUAGAGACAGGGUUUCGCCAUGUUGGCCAGGCUGUUCUUGAACUCCUGACCUGAUCCAUCCGCCUCCGUCUCCCAGAGUGCUGGGAUUACAGGCGUGAGCCACCGCGCCCGGCCAAAGAGGAAUUUUUUGAAUUUAAAGUCUAUAUAGAAAAUAAGGAAAAUAAGAGCCCAUUCAACUACAAACCCAUAGGGUGAAAUGAUUUCACUGUCACAUACACACACACACACAAAACAAUAAAUUUUCCGUAUUAAGAGGAAAAAAAGGAAAAGAAUUCCCAAGGAAAACAGGGAGGCAAUAAAGAUAACCGGCGACUGUGACUGCUGGUGUACUGUGUCCUCCCCCAGUUAAGCAAACUAUCAUUCAUCCACCUGUAUGUCCGGGGAACAGGCUCAAUCAACUCUGCGAAGCUUUCCCAAAGUCAGGCUUUCUGUCCUUUGGGCUUCUACAGUAGGCUGUUCAUAGCGCUAUCUCCUGGCACAGAACAUGUCAUCCAAGUUAGGCAUCAUCGUCGCCUGCUCUUGGUGAAGUUUUCUUUUGCGUACUGCGGAGAGAUGCGCUCAUUACCAGCUGGCGGUGGAGUCGCUGAAACGCAAAUGGAUUUGAGACUGAGCGACUCCCAUCUCUAUGGUUGGUAUGUGACCCAUCUAUCCUCUGGAGGACUCAGCAAGGACUACCAGUCACCAGACAACUUUACGCGCACGUGGUCGCAAGGUGAACUUGCUAUUGGUUAAUGGCAGUAAAGCCCGCCCAUCAGCGCUGGUCUGCUCCUUUAAAAGAACGCCAUCGACGCUCCCCUGUCUUUCAGCGCCUGCAGGUUCCGGGAGGUCAGGUUGUAUUCCUGGCGGGUCGUCUGGCUGGGUGGGCCCCGGAGGUCGUGGCUCGGGAGCAGGGAGGCGUAGGGGGGCCGGCCUGCUGUGAUGACAUUCCAAUUAAAGCACGUGUUAGACUGCUGACGCGGGUGAUGCGAACUGGAGUCUGAGCCUGCCCGAGCGGAGCUGGGAGGGGGCUGGCGGGCGGGCGCGCGCACACCCGCUGAUCUAUCACUCUCGUUCUUGUAGCUCCCAGCCGAGGACGUCGGAUGUCAUCGUCCUUGCUGCUUUGCCACCCCAUUCCCGUCAAUAAAGUGGUUUGAACCCAACCCUGGUGUCGGUGUGUGUCGUUGGCGACGCGCUGUCUUUGAGCCCCCGCCGAGCUUCCUCGUGGCGCCGGGGGUCAAUCUGCAGCGCUAGAGCAUGUGCUUGCGCAUAACUGGGGCCGCCUGGCCUCCCGCGGGCGGCCUUUUUAACCGCGAGCGACAAGAAGUAACCUGACUGUCCGGCUGCUAGGCUGGGCAAUUUUCCAGCUGUUUUGCCACGACAGGCCUCAAUCCGUAAUACCAAGGCUGGAAUGGCGUGUUAGGGGGGCGGUGGCUGACGGGGAUACGCGGACUCUUGAUGCGUAAGGAGUGCCCCUCUGCUCCCAUACGUUCCCCAGCCCAGCCUUCCCUGAGUGUAUCGCGCGCGCUGUGCCUUCGCCGUGAGUUCGACAUAAGUCCCAGGCUGUCGCGUCUGCCAUCAGACGCGCAGAUUUAGUUGAAGGCAGCGUGGAAUGGCGUCUGCAGGGCUGUUGUGUACUUGACAUAAACAGAUUCGGUGUGGAACUGCAUUGAGUUAACUCCUGACUAAAGGGUAAUCGACCUGUUUACAAAUAACCAUGCAGGAGUACUGACAAGCAUGGGACUAAAGCUUUGGGCAGGUUAAUCUGUCACUCCUAAACAGUUCAAAAUUAUAGGGCGGUUGUGAAGGUGAAUUAGAUUUUAUAUAUGGUUGGGGACAACAUAGACACCUAGUUACACAGUCCAGAUUCAGUGAUUGGUAAAAGAUCUUCCACAAGGGCUCCAGUGAAAGGUGCAUCAGUUCUGAGUACAGGGCAGCAAUGGUGGGCAAGGAUGCACGUAUGCGUUCACUACAUGGACAUUCGAUGAAUGAAGGUGUCCCGAAUUAACAUUAUACUAGACAAUGAAGGGUGUAAACUGCAGCCCAGGAGCACCACUGCCCUACCCCCUCAGUUACGAACUUUCACUGGAUUCUUUAAAUGUGGGCUGAAGAUAAUGGCACAUAGUUUGAAGGAUGUAGUGAGGAUGGCUUUGUAGCCUUAGGACUGGGCAGUGAUCAACGCAGUAAAUGAAAGCUGCGAUUGCCAGGUGAGGGCCCCGGUGCUCUGUACUCAUUUUAUUGUGCCCCUAUCUGAACAGGAUUCCGUAG